UACGUAGGGUGCAAGCGUUAAUCGGAAUUACUGGGCGUAAAGCGUGCGCAGGCGGUUUUGUAAGUUUUGUCGUGAAAUCCCCGGGCUCAACCUGGGAAUGGCGAUGAAGACUGCAAGGCUAGAAUCUGGCAGAGGGGGGUAGAAUUCCACGUGUAGCAGUGAAAUGCGUAGAGAUGUGGAGGAACACCGAUGGCGAAGGCAGCCCCCUGGGUCAAGAUUGACGCUCCAUGCACGAAAGGCGUGGGGAGCAAACAGGAU
rnacentral:rRNA from 1 species